rnacentral:rRNA from 1 species
AUUGAACGCUGGCGGCAGGCCUAACACAUGCAAGUCGAGCGCGCGCCGGGCGCGUGAGUAAUAUAUAUGGAGCUGCCCGAUAGAGGGGGAGAUCUACUGGAGACAGUGUCUACUACCUCAUACUGUCGGAGAUACCCACAUGGGAUUAGCUAGUAGGGAAGGUAAUGGCUCACCUAGGCGACGAUCCCUAGCUGGGCUGAGAGGAUGAUCAGCCACACUGGGAGUGAGACACGGCCCAAGCUCCUACGGGAGGCAGCAGUGGGGAAUAUGGCGCAAUGGGCGCAAGCCUGAUGCAGCCAUGCCGCGUGUAUGAAGAAGGCCUUAGGGUUGUAAAGUACUUUCAGUCGGGAGGCGUUACCGACAGAAGAAGCGCCGGCUAACUCCGUGCCAGCAGCCGCGGUAAUUC